AACUUCGUGGUCGAGUGGUAAGGAUACUUGCCUCUUACCUAAGAGUCCCGGGUUCGAUCCCCGGUCGAGGAACUA
rnacentral:tRNA from 1 species